rnacentral:rRNA from 1 species
GAUGAACGCUGGCGGCGUGCCUAAUACAUGCAAGUCGAGCGAAUGGAUUAAGAGCUUGCCCUUAUGAAGUUAGCGGCGGACGGGUGAGUAACACGUGGGUAACCUGCCCAUAAGACUGGGAUAACUCCGGGAAACCGGGGCUAAUACCGGAUAACAUUUUGAACCGCAUGGUUCGAAAUUGAAAGGCGGCUUCGGCUGUCACUUAUGGAUGGACCCGCGUCGCAUUAGCUAGUUGGUGAGGUAACGGCUCACCAAGGCAACGAUGCGUAGCCGACCUGAGAGGGUGAUCGGCCACACUGGGACUGGGACACGGCCCAGACUCCUACGAGAGGCAGCAGUAGGGAAUCUUCCGCAAUGGACGAAAGUCUGACGGAGCAACGCCGCGUGAGUGAUGAAGGCUUUCGGGUCGUAAAACUCUGUUGUUAGGGAAGAACAAGUGCUAGUUGAAUAAGCUGGCACCUUGACGGUACCUAACCAGAAAGCCACGGCUAACUACGUGCCAGCCGCCGCAGUAAAAC